UACGUAGGGGGCAAGCGUUUGUCCGGAUUUAUUGGGCGUAAAGAGCGUGUAGGCGGCCUGACAAGUCUGCUGUGAAAACUCGAGGCUCAACCUCGAGAUGCCGGCGGAAACUGUCUGGCUAGAGUCCGGAAGAGGAGAGUGGAAUUCCUGGUGUAGCGGUGAAAUGCGCAGAUAUCAGGAAGAACACCUAUGGCGAAGGCAGCUCUCUGGGACGGUACUGACGCUGAGACGCGAAAGCGUGGGGAGCGAACAGG
rnacentral:rRNA from 1 species